rnacentral:rRNA from 1 species
AAUAGUAUGCCUCCAUGCUACGACGGGUAGCCGGCCUGAGAGGGUGACCGGCCACACUGGGACUGAGACACGGCCCAGACUCCUACGGGAGGCAGCAGUGGGGAAUAUUGCACAAUGGGCGAAAGCCUGAUGCAGCGACGCCGCGUGAGGGAUGAAGGCCUUCGGGUUGUAAACCUCUUUCAGCAGGGACGAAGCGAAAGUGACGGUACCUGCAGAAGAAGCACCGGCCAACUACGUGC